GCCGGUGUGGUGGAAUGGCAGACACGCUCGACUCAAAAUCGAGAGGGAAACCGUGCGGGUUCAAGUCCCGCCACCGGUACCA
rnacentral:tRNA from 1 species